rnacentral:rRNA from 1 species
UACGAGGGGGGCAAGCGUUGUUCGGAAUUAUUGGGCGUAAAGGGCGCGUAGGCGGUGUCGCAAGUCCGUGGUGAAAUCUCUAGGCUCAACUUAGAGACUGCCGCGGAAACUGCGGUGCUUGAGUGUGGGAGAGGUGCGUGGAAUUCCCAGUGUAGCAGUGAAAUGCGUAGAUAUUGGGAGGAACACCAGUGGCGCAAGCGGCUAUCUGGACUGACAUUGACGCUGAGGCACGAAAGCGUGGGGAUCAAACAGG